AUACGGAGGGUGCAAGCGUUACUCGGAAUCACUGGGCGUAAAGGAUGCGUAGGCUGGAUGUCAAGUUGGAAGUGAAAUCCUAUGGCUUAACCAUAGAACUGCUUCCAAAACUGGCAACCUAGAGUGAGGGAGAGGCAGAUGGAAUUAGUGGUGUAGGGGUAAAAUCCGUAGAUAUCACUAGGAAUACCGAUUGCGAAGGCGAUCUGCUAGAACUCUACUGACGCUAAGGCAUGAAAGCGUGGGGAGCAAACAGGAUUAGAUACCCCAGUAGUCC
rnacentral:rRNA from 1 species